UUACUAGGCGCUGCUUAUGUA
rnacentral:siRNA from 1 species